UGUUCAUCGCAAAAGUCAAUUAUUUGUUUUUAAAGUAUUUUUUGUCACUUUCAAUUAUACAUUUAAAAGUUCAUACUUUCCCCAUAAAAAUUGUCGAACUGUCAGAUCACAUAUUAAAAGCUCAGCACAAAAUUUUAGAUUGGGACACCUUAAGAAAAAAAUAAAUGUAUUACUCAUUUCACAUCAAGUGGUAAACUUGGGCAAAAAAGGCAUUUCAAGUGAUGGCAAAAUAUGUAUUAAUACUUAUUUAAUUACAUUUCAACCGCUUUCAACUGUUAUCAUGCAUAAGGACAAUCAAAUUAGCAACAAGUUAUUUAUAUAAAAUGCAAUUUCAUUUAUACUUAACUUUCGAAUACAUUUCUCACUGUGUAUUCAUCUCGUCUAAGCAUUCGGAGUUAUCGGUGUAUUUUUAUUCCGUCAUCGCAAAACAGAAGUAUCCGAAACUGGGUGACUUCUGAAACGCUAACCGGAUUCCAACGGGGGAAUGCAGAUCUCAAAUAAUCGGAUACUAAAGCAGAAUCGAUGCCGGCGAAAGAAUUUUUUAUAUCCAGAUGGUUUAUCGAAGGAAAAAAACAACCUUUUUCAGCACUAAGCGGAUACAAAAAGUGGGCAUUUUUUCUCAAAAUUGUAUAUUGCCAUCGAGUGGAAGCCGAUCAACAGGUCUAAAAAUGCAGACGAAACAAAAUUUGGAAACAAAUGGUUUACCGACGGAAAAGCAGAAUAGGAACAGUCUAUACACA